rnacentral:rRNA from 1 species
AUGUGCAAGGUAUUUGGCAUUCCGAUAGAAGGGGAGGAUAUAGAGCCACAUCUGGAAAAUCAAACCGACACAGAAUUGUUUACCGCCUAUGCAAACAAUGGGCAAAUUUUGAUUUCUGACCUUGAAACGGCGAUCCGAGCUUCCAAAGCCCCAGACGGUGAUUUCCUGAGACGGUUCAUUCUGUACGCAAUUGGUACUUUUCUAGCACCAACAGCACAACAUUAUAUGGACUCGAAAUAUCUCAACCUUGUUACAGAUCUUGAAAACCUUCGAAAAUUUAACUGGGGAUGUUUCACACUUAAUCACUUCUUCAAGUCCGUUCACAAGUUUAGAAAUCGAGAUCACGUAAAUCUACAAGGAAAUCUAAUUCUGCUCCAGUAUUGGUACUGGGAGCACGUGCGUAGUGGCCGAUUAAUGUAUGCUUCUAGACCCCCUCCAUUGAUCGCACGAUGGGACGAAAUGAUGGCUACUAUAAGAAGCGAUGCUUACGAGAAAGGAGGUCUUCAUAACGGGCUGAUUGAAAUGGUAGUUGAAGUCAUGAAUGCACGCAUUGCUGAUCAUGAAAAGAAGGUAGGCAGGAAGUUAAUGGAAAUUGAGCACAGAUUUGAUGUCAAAUACCAGACUCUAGGUGAAGACUUGAUCGACAUGAAGACUAAAACUGGCACUAAUCCUAGGUUGUCGAAGGCCGAGGACGAAAUUAAAGACUUAAGGAGGGAAUUCCAUGAGUUAAAAUACGAAUUUACAAGGAACCGACAAUCAGUGUCACAGAAAGGAGGCGUGCAGGUGAUCAAUAUGGCCCAACAUGUUAAUAUCUAA